rnacentral:lncRNA from 1 species
CAGAAGAGUCUUUAGUUGUCACAGUGCCUUUUUGUUUUAUUGUGGUGUUUUUUUUUUUACUUUUUAGGACCAUAUAGCUGGCUGUGAACAGGCUGCGAUUGUGCACAGGGGAAAACAGCAAGGACUAGACUGAGUGGAUUCAGAAGAGUACUGUCUGACGUUAGAUGAAGGCAGAAUUGUGGGAAUGUCUGCUUCUAUCUCAUGCAGCUUCCAUCCAUGUGUCUCUGCGCGCACACACACACACACACACAUCUAUCUGUCUAUAUAUAAUCUGCAGCGG